UACGUAGGGUGCAAGCGUUAAUCGGAAUUACUGGGCGUAAAGCGUGCGCAGGCGGUUCCGCAAGUCAGAUGUGAAAUCCCCGGGCUCAACCUGGGAACUGCAUUUGAAACUACGGAGCUAGAGUGUGUCAGGGGGGGGUAGAAUUCCACGUGUAGCAGUGAAAUGCGUAGAGAUGUGGAGGAAUACCGAUGGCGAAGGCAGCCCCCUGGGAUGACACUGACGCUCAUGCACGAAAGCGUGGGGAGCAAACAGG
rnacentral:rRNA from 1 species